UACGUAGGGGGCAAGCGUUGUCCGGAUUUAUUGGGCGUAAAGAGCGUGUAGGCGGCCAGGUAGGUCCGUUGUGAAAACUCGAGGCUCAACCUCGAGACGCCGAUGGAAACCAUCUGGCUAGAGUCCGGAAGAGGAGAGUGGAAUUCCCGGUGUAGCGGUGAAAUGCGCAGAUAUCGGGAAGAACACCCGUGGCUAAGGCGGCUCUCUAGUACGGUACUGACGCUGAGACGCGAAAGCGUGGGGAG
rnacentral:rRNA from 1 species